UACGAAGGGUGCAAGCGUUAAUCGGAAUUACUGGGCGUAAAGCGCGCGUAGGUGGUUUCUUAAGUCAGAGGUGAAAGGCUACGGCUCAACCGUAGUAAGCUUUUGGAACUGUAAGACUUGAGUGCAGGAGAGGAGAGUGGAAUUCCUAGUGUAGCGGUGAAAUGCGUAGAUAUUAGGAGGAACACCAGUAGCGAAGGCGGCUCUCUGGACUGUAACUGACGCUGAGGCACGAAAGCGUGGGGAGCAAACAGGAUUAGAUACCCCCCGUAGUCCCUGA
rnacentral:rRNA from 1 species